rnacentral:rRNA from 1 species
GUACACACCGCCCGUCAAGCCAUGGAAGAAGAGAGCGCUCUAAGUCGUGACGCCAACCCUUCGGGGAGCUAGCGCCUAAAGCGAGAUUUUUGACUGGGGCUAAGUCGUAACAAGGUAGCCGUAUCGGAAGGUGCGGCUGGAUUACCUCCUUUCAGGAG